GACGAACGCUGGCGGCGUGCUUAACACAUGCAAGUCGAACGGUAAGGCCCUUCGGGGUACACGAGUGGCGAACGGGUGAGUAACACGUAGGUGAUCUGCCCUGCACUUCGGGAUAAGCCUGGGAAACUGGGUCUAAUACCGGAUAGGACCCUGGGAUGCAUGUCCUGGGGUGGAAAGCUUUUGCGGUGUGGGAUGGGCCCGCGGCCUAUCAGCUUGUUGGUGGGGUGAUGGCCUACCAAGGCGACGACGGGUAGCCGGCCUGAGAGGGUGACCGGCCACACUGGGACUGGGGUACGGCCCAGACUCCUACGGGAGGCAGCAGUGGGGAAUAUUGCACAAUGGGCGCAAGCCUGAUGCAGCGACGCCGCGUGAGGGAUGACGGCCUUCGGGUUGUAAACCUCUUUCAGCACCGACGAAGCGCAAGUGACGGUAGGUGCAGAAGAAGGACCGGCCAACUACGUGCCAGCCGCCGCCGUAA
rnacentral:rRNA from 1 species